CACGUAGGGCGCGAGCGUUGUCCGGAAUUAUUGGGCGUAAAGAGCUCGUAGGCGGCCUGUUGCGUCCGCUGUGAAAGCCCGGGGCUUAACCCCGGGUCUGCAGUGGAUACGGGCAGGCUAGAGGUAGGUAGGGGAGAAUGGAAUUCCCGGUGUAGCGGUGAAAUGCGCAGAUAUCGGGAGGAACACCUGUGGCGAAGGCGGCUUUCUGGGCCUUACCUGACGCUGAGACGCGAAAGCGUGGGGAGCGAACCGG
rnacentral:rRNA from 1 species